GAUGAACGCUGGCGGCGUGCCUAAUACAUGCAAGUAGAACGCUGAAGGAGGAGCUUGCUCUUCUGGAUGGGUUGCGAACGGGUGAGUAACGCGUAGGUAACCUGCCUGGUAGCGGGGGAUAACUAUUGGAAACGAUAGCUAAUACCGCAUGACAACAGUUAUUGCAUGAUAACUGUUUAAAAGGGGCAACUGCUCCACUACCAGAUGGACCUGCGUUGUAUUAGCUAGUUGGUGAGGUAACGGCUCACCAAGGCGACGAUACAUAGCCGACCUGAGAGGGUGAUCGGCCACACUGGGACUGAGACACGGCCCAGACUCCUACGGGAGGCAGCAGUAGGGAAUCUUCGGCAAUGGACGGAAGUCUGACCGAGCAACGCCGCGUGAGUGAAGAAGGUUUUCGGAUCGUAAAGCUCUGUUGUAAGAGAAGAACGAGUGUGAGAGUGGAAAGUUCACACUGUGACGGUAUCUUACCAGAAAGGGACGGCUAACUACGU
rnacentral:rRNA from 1 species